GACGAACGCUGGCGGCGUGCUUAACACAUGCAAGUCGAACGAUGAAGCCGGAGCUUGCUCUGGUGAAUUAGUGGCGAACGGGUGAGUAACAUGUGAGUAACCUGCCCUUGACUCUGGGAUAACUGCGGGAAACUGUAGCUAAUACCGGAUACGACCCUCGGAGGCAUCUCCUGGGGGUGGAAAGAAUUUCGGUCAAGGAUGGACUCGCGACCUAUCGGCUAGUUGGUGAGGUAACGGCUCACCAAGGCGACGACGGGUAGCCGGCCUGAGAGGGUGACCGGCCACACUGGGACUGAGACACGGCCCAGACUCCUACGGGAGGCAGCAGUGGGGAAUAUUGCACAAUGGGCGCAAGCCUGAUGCAGCAACGCCGCGUGAGGGAUGACGGCCUUCGGGUUGUAAACCUCUUUUAGUAGGGAAGAAGCGAAAGUGACGGUACCUGCAGAAAAAGCACCGGCUAACUACGUGCCAGCCGCCGCAGUAA
rnacentral:rRNA from 1 species